AUGAAAUUAAAAUUAUUAAAUAUAAUUUUAUCAAUAAUAAAUAAACUUAAUAAUAAUAAUAAUAUUAUUAUUAAUAAUCUAUUAGAUUCAUUAAUAAAUAAGAAAUUAUUAUUAAAGAAUAUAUUAUUAGAUAUAAAUAAUAAAAAAAUAAAUAAUAUAAAAAGAAUAUUAAAUAAUAAUAAUAUAAAUAUUAAUAAUAAAUUACAACAUUUAAAUAAUAUAAAUAAUUGAAAUCUACAAAUUUAUAAUUAUAAUAAAAAUAUAGAAAUUAUAAAUACUAUAAAUGAUAAAUUAAUUAAUAAAUUAUUAUAUAAAAUAAUAACUUUAAAAUUAAAUAAUAUAAAUAUUAAUAAAAUUAUUAUAAGUAAACUUAUUAAUCAACAUAGUUUAAAUAAAUUAAAUAUUAAAUUUUAUUAUUAUAAUAAUGAUAUUAAUAAUAAUAAUAAUAAUAAUAAUAAUAAUAAUAAUAAUUAUUAUAUAAAUAUAAUAAAUAAAUUAAUAAAUAUUAUAAAUAAUAAUAUAAAUAAUAAUUUAUGUAAUAUUUUAAGUUAUUAUUAUAAUAAAAAAGUAACUAUUGAACCUAUUAAAUUAUCAUAUAUUUAUUUAAAUAGUGAUAUUUUUAGUAAAUAUAUUAGUUUAAAUGAUAUAGAUAAAUAUAAUAAUGGUAUCUUAACUAAUUAUCAACGUAUAUUAAAUAAUAUUAUGCCUAAAUUAAAUGAUCAUAAUAUUUCUAUAAAUUAUAUUAAUAAUAUUAAUAAUAUUAAUAAUAAUAAAUAUAAUAAUAUAAUUAAUUUAUUAAAUAAUAAUAAUAAUAUUAAUAAUUAUAAUAAUUAUAAUAAUUAUAAUAAUAAUAAUAAUAAUAAUAAUUAUAUUGGUAAUAUUAAUAAUAUUUAUAAUAAUAUAACUAUUGAUAAUAUUCCUAUAGAUAUUUUAAUAUAUAAAUAUUUAGUUGGUUGAUCUAUUAAAUUUAAAGGUAGAUUAAGUAAUAAUAAUGGUAGAACUAGUACACUUAAUUUAUUAAAUGGUACUUUUAAUAAUAAAAAAUAUUUAUGAAGUAAUAUUAAUAAUAAUUAUAAAUUAAAUUAUAUCCCUUCUAAUCAUAAUUUAUAUAAUAAUUCUAAUAUUAAUAAAAAUGGUAAAUAUAAUAUUAAAGUUAAAUUAAACUUUAUUUAA
rnacentral:rRNA from 1 species